AGAGUUUGAUCCUGGCUCAGGAUGAACGCUGGCGGCAUGCCUAAGACAUGCAAGUCGUACGAAGUGACCCAUUGAAGUGGAGUGCUUGCACAAAGCGGAUUUGGAUUUUCACUUAGUGGCGCAAGGGUGAGUAACACGUGGGUUAUCUGCCUUGGAGACUGGAAUAACAAUUAGAAAUGAUUGCUAAUGCCGGAUGAUAUAUAAGAGGAUACGUUCUCUUAUAGUAAAAGGUGCCUUUAAAGCAUCACUUCAAGAUGAGCCUGCGGCGCAUUAGCUAGUUGGUAAGGUAAUGGCUUACCAAGGCGACGAUGCGUAGCCGAACUGAGAGGUUGAUCGGCCACAUUGGGACUGAGACACGGCCCAAACUCCUACGGGAGACAGCAGUUAGGAAUAUUCGUCAAUGGGGGAAACCCUGAACGAGCAAUGCCGCGUGAAUGAUGACGGUCCUCUGGAUUAUAAAAUUCUGUUGUUGAGGAAGAACGUCCUAUAUAGGAAAUGAUAUAGGAGUGACGGUACUCUUCAAGAAAGCUCCGGCUAACUACGUGCC
rnacentral:rRNA from 1 species